GGGCGCUUAGCUCAGUGGUAGAGCGGCGGUUUUACACACCGUUGGUCGGCGGUUCGAAUCCGUCAGCGCCCA
rnacentral:tRNA from 3 species